CUGUCACCUCUUCUGGGAAACUUUCCCUGACACGCUCAGGUUUUUGUCCGGGUCAAAUUUUAUCAACUAUAACAUCUGCCUUUGUGAGUUUCAUUUUGUGGCCAUUACUUCUACCAAAUCUAACUGUUCCCAAACAGAUUUGGAUGUCUGCAUUUCGUCAAGGUUUGAUUCUUCAGGAAAUUCUGAAUAAGCAGAAGGUGGGACCGAGUGAUGAUGCCCCUCGGAAGGGCCCAGUCUCUGCCUGUGGGUCACCACGACAUCAUCACAGAUAUCGCCAUGUUCCAGACGACACAGGGCUUCAUCGUGACUGCUUCUAGAGAUGAGAUUGUUACGGUGUGGAAAUGAAAACUGGGUGAUUUGUAUAAUUUGCAAUAAAGUUAUAAAUAUAUUGUAACAGCAGAGGAAAGGUAUUUCUAGAGAAUAGAAGCGAGAUCAGAUUCAUUUGCUUAAUUUUCAAAAUCAUUGUGUUUUUUUGUUUUUUGUUUUUUUUUUACUGUUU